rnacentral:rRNA from 1 species
GAUCCUGGCUCAGGAUGAACGCUAGCUACAGGCUUAACACAUGCAAGUCGAGGGGAAACGAUAGAGAAAGCUUGCUUUUUCUAGGCGUCGACCGGCGCACGGGUGAGUAACGCGUAUCCAACCUGCCCACCACUUGGGGAUAACCUUGCGAAAGUAAGACUAAUACCCAAUGAUAUCUCUAGAAGACAUCUGAAAGGGAUUAAAGAUUUAUCGGUGAUGGAUGGGGAUGCGUCUGAUUAGCUUGUUGGG